rnacentral:RNase_P_RNA from 1 species
GCGGAGAGGUGGAUGGCCGCUUUGAAGGGUUAGCCCGGCAGAGAGGAAAGUCCGGACUCCAAAAAGUAAAGGUGCCGGGUAACGCCCGGGCGAGGUAACUCGACGGAAAGCGCCACAGAAAAAAAACCGCCUGCCUUAGGGUCGGCAAGGGUGAAAAGGUGGAGUAAGAGCCCACCGCCAGGCUGGUAACAGACUGGGUAUGGCAAGCCCCACCUGGAGCAAUGCCAAAUAGGAACCGCGUGCCAGGAAACUGGCGGGGCUGCUUUUGCCCCAGCAGGUUCGGGUUGGCAGCUAGAGGGGUGUUGGUAACAGCACCUUUAGAGGAAUGGUCAUCUCGGAUGGAAAAUUCCAUCUAAGACAGAAUCCGGCUUACAGCCUCCCCGCGCAC